GACAGAGGUGGCAAGCGUUGUCCGGACUGACUGGGCGUAAAGCGCACGCAGGUGGCCGCGCAAGUGAGGUGUGAAAGCGCCCGGCUUAACCGGGCGAGGCCAUCUCAGACUGCGCAGCUCGAGCUAUGCAGAGGUCGGUGGAAUUGCCGGUGUAGUGGUGAAAUGCGUAGAGAUCGGCAGGAACACCAAGGGCGAAAGCAGCCGACUGGGCAUAGGCUGACACUCAGGUGCGACAGCGUGGGGAGCGAACUGG
rnacentral:misc_RNA from 1 species